rnacentral:misc_RNA from 1 species
UCGCCUCCCUGUAGAGUUCCACGUCCGAUGACCACGUCGCAGUUCUCUCUUAAUUACCUACUUCAUCCUUCCGACGUCUUCCUUACUGCCUGCCGCUGCAGCCGUUGCCGUUUUGCACACCUGCAGGGGCCACCUCCACUUGGAGUCUCCCCACGACUCUGUGCGCUUGUGUGCGGCGUACGUGCGCAUCGGCCCGCUGCCACCUCCGAGAGAUCAUGAUUCAGCCGCUGCAAAAAAGUUUGUCUCCGCCGGCAGUGGCUACCGAUGCAGAAGACUGCAGUGCUGUGGGGGUGAAUCGCGGACCCAAGGUGCGGCGCGACGUUAUCGCGUCUCGUCUCGGCAUACACGAUGCCGACCUUCGUGGGACAUCGCCAGCGUCGUCGCUGUCCUCUUCCUCAGUGCUGUCAUCCGCUAGCGGCGUAGGGGGCGGUGAUGAGGACUCAGAUGCCAGCGGUAGAGUAGGGAGCGCUGCAGCACGCGCGGUGCCGGUGCGCAUGCCCUUGUCCUCCAUCGCCAAAGCUGAGGCUGCCUUGCAGAAGACGGUGCAUCUUUCGAGAGGCGGCCUCUGCGCGGAGUUCACGGCGGAGGACAUCCGGCGCAUCUCGGACGGUGACGUACUCCGCUACCUCUCUACCCACUCGAGCGCAAGCGCCGAGGGUGACCGCGGCAUCAGGACCGCACCUGUGGAAAGGCCCUGCGCUCCUGUGACGACGGCAACGGACAUUGAGUCGCACAUGGCAGCUUUGCAGGAGGAGAUCAACACUUUUAUCACCGUAGUCGACAACGAGGGGUGCAGCUACGAGAUCCGCGUUGGGGCUUCUGGACACGUGCAAGUGCCCAUCGCAGACGAUGAUCUCGAGGAUAGAGUUUCUCUCCGUGAGGUUGAGGGGGAGAUGGAGUUGGUACCAGCAGGUGGCGUUGGGCUCGUUGCCUCGCCCGACGAAGGUGCUGCGAGGACCGAGAGGGUCACAUCUGCCGCCGUCUCUCCGCUGUCUAGUGAGGCGACACCAACAACAAGCCACCCACCGAGCCAGCGCGUGCGACGCCCACCGCUGUCAAAGCCCGUCCGCUCGACGCGGUCCACAGCGCACCACAGCGCGCGAGCGCAUCAGGUGACACGCUUCUCCAAAUCCCCUCCACCGACGCGACCCUUGCAGUCAAGUCGACUGUCUACAGCGAAGCCGCCGGCGUUUGCUGUGCGGCCACAGGCAAGUCUGACGGAUAGCGAGGCGACGCGUGUCGAGCACUUGCUCGACCCCUCCGCCACUGCUGCUCUGAUGGCCAACCCGUAUGCACUUGGCGCAGAAAAGGAGCAGCGCCUUCGCGCAUUGGAGGCAGAGGCGCGGCGCUAUGCAGCCGCCCGCGGCGCGGUGAUGGCCGAAGACGCUUUGCAGCGCCUCAAGGACGCACCGACGGACGUGCGCGCUGCUGCGUUGCCCGAGGCCAAGGAAGCAGCCACAGAUCUCGGAAACGCCUACAUGCGCCAUGCAAGAGAGCAUGAGAACAUGAUGCAUCAGCUGCGCUCCGUCAAUGAGCGCCUCCGUGCGCUGCAGCGGCGGGCAGCGGCGGUCGCGCUAGCCCCGGCUGAUGAAGUGCCCUCAUCUGUUGCAGCACUUCGGCCGUCCUGGGCGCAGACCACAGAACCUCCUAUAGAGGAAGAACAAGUCCAGCGCCUGCUUGAGCUCGCUCGCGAAGAGGAGACUAGAGCGAAGGAGGCGGGACUGAACUGCGUUCUACCACCGGCACCGGACGAACCAUUCAGUGGGCUGCGCCGCCACUUGGGGGCCAUCUGCACGCGCGCAGCCAAUCUUCUGGCGACGUACGAGUCUGCACCUUUAGUUCUGCGCUCUCCAGUGGCGCCAGGGGCGGAGGACGCAGACGACAGCGACCCUGAAGCUUAACCCGGCAGAUGUUGAUGUUGCUGUGUGACUUCGCUUUGUGAACGCGUAUCCUUGUGCAGCCCUCGUGGAUGCCGUUGGGUUUCUUUCUGCUCUUAUGUAUCGCGCGUGUGCUACGCUCAACCACACACAGGCAGAGGAUAAACGCUUUCUCUAGAGGCUGGUGCGCACUUUUUUCGUUUCUGCGCCGUGUUGGCUCUCUGCCUCAUGCAACAGGAGCCAAACACCACUCCACACCACCACCACCCGCCAGUCUGCCACGGCCCCCGUCGCCUGGUGCGAAGCAUGCCGUUCGCACACGCGUUGCAGCCGUGCGCCGUCCCAGUCAGCUGAGAGCACGGCCUCUGCCUCACACGCUACGCGCCACCGCUCCGCGGGCCGCCUCGCAGCCGGCUCCCCUCAUGCCGGUCGCCACCUGGUGCAUCCUCCUCGGCGUGGCACGCAGGCUCCCCAUCAGCAGGCAGUGAGGGCCGGGUGGGAUACGCUCGAGCUCGGUUGGCGCUGUGCCCAUCAUGCGGAUGCGCAAGCGUGUGCACCGUCGCGGGUCGCCCGCGAUGCCGCGCCAUCCAGCGCCUGACCGCCGGCAUACCAGCGGCGGUACAUCGCUGUGACCCCUCCGCACAUGCUAGGUACUUGAGCCUGGCACCGCCACAAGCGGUUCCGGCAUUGGCAGGGUGGGUGUGUACGGGAGGCCCUGAGAUGCCAUGCACCGAGAGGUGUGUGUGCCUCCUUCCUGCCAUCAGGUGAACCCGUCUCUGUGUCAUGAAAGAAGGUAGUCGAAGUAUACUGCAAGACUCAGUGACACAUGUGAGCCGGUGUCCGCCAUUCCUACGGGUC